rnacentral:rRNA from 1 species
GGGGAAUUUUGGACAAUGGGCGCAAGCCUGAUCCAGCAAUGCCGCGUGCAGGAUGAAGGCCUUCGGGUUGUAAACUUCUUUUAUACGGGAAUAAAGUGCCCCACGCGUGGGGUUUUGCAAGUACCGUACGAAUAAGGAUCGGCUAACUCCGUGCCAGCAGCCGCGGUAAUACGGAGGAUCCGAGCGUUAUCCGGAUUUAUUGGGUUUAAAGGGUGCUCAGGCGGGGGAUUAAGUCGGCGGUGAAAUUUUGCAGCUCAACUGUAAAAGUGCCUUCGAAACUGGUUUCCUUGAGUGCGGAUGAGGUAGGCGGAAUUUGGGGUGUAGCGGUGAAAUGCAUAGAUAUCACGGGGAUCUCCGAUUGCGCAGGCAGCUUACCAAGCCGUAACUGACGCUCAAGCACGAAGGCGUGGGGAUCAAACA